AAUAAGUGACGUUUUGGAAGAAAAAUUUUGUUCCAAAUUAUCUGUCGUUUACAACUUUCAAGGAGAAUAAAUUAUUUACUUUCCUAUAUCACCCUUACCUUCUCUCAUUGUUUAGUAUUAAUAGUUUUCAACUUCCCAUAAAAGGGUAGUGAUGGAAUUUCACACAGAUUUUAAUUAUUAAAUGAUAGUAUUAAAUUACUUUCUU
rnacentral:lncRNA from 1 species